rnacentral:rRNA from 1 species
GACGAACGCUGGCGGCGUGCUUAACACAUGCAAGUCGAACGGAAAGGCCCUGCUUUUGUUGGGUGCUCGAGUGGCGAACGGGUGAGUAACACGUGAGUAACCUGCCCUUGACUUUGGGAUAACUUCAGGAAACUGGGGCUCAUACCGGAUAUGAGCUCCUGCUGCAUGGUGGGGAUUGGUAAGUUUCGGCGGUUGUGGAUGGACUCGCGGCUUAUCAGCUGGUUGGUGGGGUAGUGGAUUACAAAGGCUUUGACGGGUAGCCGGCCUGAGAGGUUGACCGGCCACAUGGGGACUGAGAUACGGCCCAGACUCCUACGGGAGGCAGCAGUGGGGAAUAUUGCACAAUGGGCGGAAGCCUGAUGCAGCAACGCCGCGUGCGGGAUGACGGCCUUCGGGUUGUAAACCGCUUUCGACUGUGACGAAGCGUGAGUGACGGUAAUGGGUAAAGAAGCACCGGCUAACUACGUG